rnacentral:rRNA from 1 species
GCGAGAACACACACUAUGCAGUGAAUUGCUAGAACUGUCUCAGAGUAUGGGCAGAGGCUAGUUAGAGAGAGCUGGCCGUAUGAUAAAACGGAGGAGGGAAGGGGCCAUCUGUGAGCAGGUCAGUAUGCCCAGAAACUCCUGGGCCACACGCGGGCUGCAAUGGUAGGGACAAUAGGUUCCGACCUCGAAAGAGGAAGGCAAUCCCCAAACCCUACCCCAGUUGUGAUCGAGGAUUGAAACCCGUCCUCGUGAAUAUGGAAUCCCUGGUAAACCGCGUGUCAUCACCGCGCGGUGAAUACGUACCCUGCUCCUUGCACACACCGCCCGUCGCUUCACCCGAGUUGGGUCAGGACGAGGUCAUCUCAUGUUGUGGUAUCGAUCUGUG